rnacentral:rRNA from 1 species
AACGAACGCUGGUUUCGUGCCUAAUACAUGCAAGUAGAACGCUGAAAGAUCAUCUUGCUCUUCUGGAUGAGUUGCGAACGGGUGAUUAACGCGAACGUAACCUGCCUGGUGGUGGAGGAUAACUAUUGGAAACCAUAUCUAACACCGCAUAAUAACAGUUGUUGCAGGACAACUGUUUGAAAGGUGCAAUUGCAUCACCACCAGAUGAACCUGCGUUGUAUUAGCUAGUUGGUGACGUAACGGCUCAUCUAUGCGACGAUACAUAGCCGACCUGACAGGGUGAUCGGGCACACUGGGACUGACACACAGCCCAGACUCCUACGGGAGGCAUCAGUAAGGAAUCUUCGGCAAUGGACAAAAGUCUGACCUAUCAACGCCACGUGAGUGAAUAAGGUUAUCGGAUCGUACAGCUCUGUUGUACGACAAUAACGACUGUGAGAGUGGAAAGUUCACACUGUGACAGUAUCUUACCAAAAAGGUGCGGCUAACUACCUGCCAACAGCACGCGGUAAGACGUAUGUCCCAAGCGUUGUCCGGAUUUACUGCGCGUAAAGCGAGCGCAGGCGGUUAGAUAACUCUGAAGUUCAAGGCUGUGGCUUAACCCUAGUACGCUUUGUGAAAUGGUUAACUUGAAUGCCAGAAGAGAGAGAGGGAUUUCCUGUGGUACCGUGAAAUGCGUAGAUAUAUGGAAGAACCCCCGUGGCGAAAGCGGCUCUCUUGCUUGUGUACCUGACGUUGAGGCUAGACAGCGUGGCGAGCAAACCGGACUAGAUACCAUGCUAGUCCACUCCGUAAACGAAGAGUGGUAGGCGUGAGGCCCUUUCCGGGGUCUUAGUGCCGUAGCUAAUACAUUAAGCAGUCCGCCUGGGGAGUACGACGGCAAGGUGGAAACUCAUCGGAAGAGUCGGGGGCCCGCACAACCGGCGGAGCAUGAGGUUUAAUUAGUAGCAGCGCGAAGAACCUCCUCAGGUCCCGACAUCCCUUUGACCGUUCUAGAGAUAGAGUUUUCCUUCGGAACAGAAGUGACAGCUCAUGCAUGGUUGUCGUCAGCUCGUGUCGUGAGAUGUUGGGUUAAGUCCCGCAACGAGCGCAACCCCUUUUGUUAGUUGCCAUCAUUUGGUAGGGCACUCUAACGAGACUGCCGGUAACAAACCGGAGGAAGGUGGGGAUGACGUCAAAUCAUCAUGCCCCUUAUGACCUGGGCUACACACGUCAUACAAUGGCUGGUACAGAGGGUUGCCAAUCGGCGAGGGCAAGCUAAUCUCAUAAAGCCAGUCUCAGUCCGGAUCGCAGUCUGCAACUCGCCUGCAUGAAGUCGGAAUCGCUAGUAAUCGCGGAUCAGCAUGCCGCGGUGAAUACGUUCCCGGGCCU